UACGAAGGGUGCAAGCGUUACUCGGAAUCACUGGGCGUAAAGCGUGCGUAGGCGGUUGGUUAAGUCUGCUGUGAAAGCCCUGGGCUCAACCUGGGAACUGCAGUGGAUACUGGCCAGCUCGAGUGUGAUAGAGGAUGGUGGAAUUCCCGGUGUAGCGGUGAAAUGCGUAGAGAUCGGGAGGAACACCAGUGGCGAAGGCGGCCAUCUGGAUCAACACUGACGCUGAGGCACGAAAGCGUGGGGAUCAAACAGG
rnacentral:rRNA from 1 species